rnacentral:tRNA from 1 species
GCGUGCAUGGUAUAAUGGUAGAAUUGAAGCUUCCCAAGCUUUAGAUCCGGGUUCGAUCCCCGGUGCACGCA